CUCGUAGGCGGUUUGUCGCGUCGAAUGUGAAAUCCCGGGGCUCAACUCCGGGUCUGCAUUCGAUACGGGCAGACUAGAGUUCGGUAGGGGAGUCUGGAAUUCCUGGUGUAGCGGUGAAAUGCGCAGAUAUCAGGAGGAACACCGGUGGCGAAGGCGGGACUCUGGGCCGAUACUGACGCUGAGGAGCGAAAGCGUGGGGAGCAAACA
rnacentral:rRNA from 1 species